rnacentral:lncRNA from 1 species
UGAAACUAAUUCUAGAGAACCAUCUGUUGUAGAGAGCAAUCUUCUCAAAAUGGUUCAGGUAUAAAUUGGGGCAAGAACACUUGUGGUGUUAUUCUUGAGUUUGUCUUCCUUUCUCCUAUUUUUAGCUAUUAUACAAAAAUUGCUUUCCUGUGGAUACAUUUUGGUCAUGUCUUGUUAUGUCAGUGUUGUUUGACAAUAUGCACUGUGGCAGCUAUGAUAACAAGGGAAAUGCUCUAACUUGUGGACACAUGCUGAGGGAGUGCAUCAAAUGAAAAGUAGUUUGGUUUCUUUCUCAAUAAGGAUGAUAUAGCAGAGGUAUAUUUGCAGCCAUAUGGGGAAUUGGGAUAUUAUCUUUAACAUGACUGAUCAAUCUUCUUAUAUCUGGCAGUUGAGAAAUAACAUGCACGAUUUCUCAUCUAAUCAUAUAAUCCCUCUUAUGAAGCUGAAAAUUUGUGUUCUUAACCAGCGGGUAUCAUCAUCUCAUUCAGUUAUAUGAUGUGUAUGUUGUUUUUGGUAUGCCUUAGCUUGUUGUAGUCUAAUAUGUUGUUAAGUCAGGUUUCAGCGAUUUGGAUCAUUUGACGAAUCUAUGCAACUACUCAAGAAACUUAUAAAGCAGUUGAGGAGAAAUGCCUUAGAAGAGGCUUUAGUCAAAUUGAACGUAAACAGAGAAGUGUUAUGAACUUUACUGAUUAUCAGAAGAUGCCGGAGAAGAACAUGAGUUUUGCAGUUUUACGCCUCUUUCAGAUUGUUUAUUUUAUAAAUUUAUAAUUCAUUAUAAAAUUUAAA